UCAAGCAGUAAGCGCGCAGCGUCUUGUGUGGUCUGGUGGCAAAGAGGUUGGAGAGAAGGAAGCAGCGUCCCCAUAAUGGAAUUCCCGGACUUGGGUAAACACUGUUCGGAGAAGACUUGCAAGCAGUUAGACUUUCUACCCCUGAAAUGUGAUGCAUGUGAGGAGGUCUUCUGCAAAAACCACAUUGCGUAUAACCGGCACAAGUGUCUUUCUGCGCACAAGAAGGAUGUGCAGGUUCCAGUCUGUCCUCUUUGUAAUUCUCCUGUCCCAGUAAGAAAGGGGGAGAUGCCUGAUGCAGUGGUUGGUGCUCAUAUGGACAGAGACUGUAAACAUGAUUCCGCCCAGCAGAAACAAAAGAUCUUCACAAACAAGUGCUUCAAGUCGGGCUGCAAAAAGAGAGAGAUGAUGAAGCUGGUUUGUGAGCAGUGUCACGGAAACUUCUGCCUCCAGCAUCGGCACCCUCUGGAUCAUGCCUGCCAAGGACAAGGCCGUGCCAUGUCAAAAGCAGGGUGCCGGUCCCUUUGCUUUGUGCAGUGAGGUUUCACGAACGAUCGAAGGGGGCAUGCCGCUCAAAAUUAAAACGGCUCUUCUGGUUGCUGAAAGCAGGAUACUGAGUGUGGGUGUUCCUUUACAGGUGUGCCGCUCUAAUGAGAUCGCUGGAAUCCAACAAGAUAUCUCCAAACUUUCUGCAAAACAGGUGCAAAACAAAAAGCUGAUGUCCUACAACCUAGAUCCCAAACUACCUCAUCCUGUUCUAUGCUGCCAAUAUUUAGCUCUCUAAAACUUCUGUAUCUUUUCUAUCCUAUUUUUGUAUGUAAAUUUCUUUCGAAUAAACUGAUUUUCUGGUGA